rnacentral:ncRNA from 1 species
CCAUCUGUAUCACCAGAUGAACCUAGGAGUCUGAAUAAAGUAGCGACUCUGACAAUGUAACGAAGAUUGACAUUUGCCAAUCGGGAUCUAAAUCGUGAGAAAACGAUCCUCCUGAUAACCACAAUUGGGUGAGUGC